GACGAACGCUGGCGGCGUGCUUAACACAUGCAAGUCGAACGGAAAGGCCCUGCUUUUGUGGGGUGCUCGAGUGGCGAACGGGUGAGUAACACGUGAGUAACCUGCCCUUGACUUUGGGAUAACUUCAGGAAACUGGGGCUAAUACCGGAUAGGAGCUCCUGCUGCAUGGUGGGGGUUGGAAAGUUUCGGCGGUUGGGGAUGGACUCGCGGCUUAUCAGCUUGUUGGUGGGGUAGUGGCUUACCAAGGCUUUGACGGGUAGCCGGCCUGAGAGGGUGACCGGCCACAUUGGGACUGGGAUACGGCCCAGACUCCUACGGGAGGCAACAGUGGGGAAUAUUGCACAAUGGGCGGAAGCCUGAUGCAGCAACGCCGCGUGCGGGAUGACGGCCUUCGGGUUGUAAACCGCUUUCGCCUGUGACGAAGCGUGAGGGACGGUAAUGGGUAAAGAAGCACCGGCUAACUACGU
rnacentral:rRNA from 1 species